UGGGGAAUUUUGGACAAUGGGGGAAACCCUGAUCCAGCCAUCCCGCGUGUGCGAUGAAGGCCUUCGGGUUGUAAAGCACUUUUGGCAGGAAAGAAACGUCAUGGGUUAAUACCCCGUGAAACUGACGGUACCUGCAGAAUAAGCACCGGCUAACUACGUGCCAGCAGCCGCGGUAAUACGUAGGGUGCAAGCGUUAAUCGGAAUUACUGGGCGUAAAGCGUGCGCAGGCGGUUCGGAAAGAAAGAUGUGAAAUCCCAGAGCUCAACUUUGGAACUGCAUUUUUGACAACCGGGCUAGAGUGUGUCAGAGGGAGGUGGAAUUCCGCGUGUAGCAGUGAAAUGCGUAGAUAUGCGGAGGAACACCGAUGGCGAAGGCAGCCUCCUGGGAUAACACUGACGCUCAUGCACGAAAGCGUGGGGAGCAAACAGG
rnacentral:rRNA from 1 species